UGUUUGGGCUUUUAACAUGUGUUUCACUUUGUGUGUUCUGUCUUUUUAAUUUUGUGUAUUCUGGCCCAUCGCUGAUCAGAUCUUCCCGACGGCUAAUACCUUAGAGUUUGUCGAUUAAAUUUUUUUUUUCUGAUCGCUCUGAUCCCUCUUCCUCUUCCUCUUCCUCUUCCUCUUCCUCUUCCUUUCUUCUGCAGUUAUGGUGUUCAUUAACACAACUCCCUCCGCCUCGGAAGAUCCGCCCAGUCAGUUGUUUGUCGACUCAUACGAUUUUUGGAUUCCAGGAACAUUAGCAAGAAUGGAGAGUUCAUGGGCAUCACCAUUCUCCUCCUUGAUGAACUUGUGAUGAUUGUUUCUUACUUAUUUAUAGGACUUUCAAAACGUUUUUGACUGAGAUUUCUCCGUUUUGAUAUACACCGGAGAUUUUUGACCGAAACGGAUCCAAGGUUUAUUUGCGAUUGCAUACGUUGUUUGAGAGAGACAAUUGGAUGUGAUUGUGUGAUUGUAGAAGCAUGGCUAAAGAGGAGCUGCAAAAAUGGGUACUAAGGCUGAUGAAAGGAAAUGCCUUGGGGGUUAACAAGAACUGGCAUGGUGGCCUAUUUUGUGAUGCUGGUAGUGGUUGUUGCGUCACUGGGGUGAUAGACGUCGUGGGAGCGUCAGCAAUGUAUGUGGCUAUUUGGAGCUAGCUUCCAUAUUUCUGUCAUAUCAGUUUUGUAUCCUAUCCCAGUUUUGGUUAUAAUUUCCCUGGUAAGGAUUGAAUCCUACUUUUGUUUUUUCUCCCUUGGUUAGGAUAUGAUCUUUGUCAAGACUGAUGACUUCAGACUGAUUAUUUCAAGAAGGUUUAUAUCAAAGUAUUUUUUUUAUGUUGAAUCUUGCCUUAGAGUUAGCUAUUUAGCUUCUCUCUUGACAUGUUUACCUUUUUUUAUGCAGAUGAUGUUUAUAUAUGUCGCUAUAAAAAAAACUAUGAUGCCAUUCUUCACUUUAAUCGGGAUAUAAGAUGCAGAAAAAUAUUUUAUAAGUUUCUGAUACCCUAAACAGACAGUAAGGUGGGUCUAGGAGAAGAAGGUCUCCAGUUUUCGUUAGUUCUAUCUCUCUCUUACAGAGCAUUGGUUCCAGUCUCCUUCAUUGACGCUUUGUGAUCUAUUGAUUAAAAAGCUGUAGCCAUUGCUAAUUAAUCUAUUGUUUUCUAAACCGGUUGUUGCUUUCGAUAACAACCAUCACCAACCAAGUAUUUCACAAAUUUCAAAGCAUUGUAUUUUUUAUUUUUUGGGAUGAAGAACACGACACCCUCAAGAGGAACAUGAAAAAGAGAACUAUGGUCACCACAGAGCCUCCAUAGAGGAUAUAUACAACUGUCUUUACUUUGGUGGAUUAGCUGAUACAUAAGUUCGGAUACGAAGUUCAUAUAUUUUGUUUAACGAAACUUUAUGUCUUCAUCCCUCUCUGCUACACAUAAUCUUCUCUUUCUUUUUAGCCACAUUGUUGUUUCAUACAAAUGCAAUACGUGGAACUAGAUAAAUAAAUCAAGUGUAAUCUUUUUACCUAAAACAUCUUCUCUUUAUUACAUUGUUUCAUGUGCAAAAGCACACAGGAUAACAUAGAUUCUGAUUAUCUUUCCUAUAAGACAGACAAGUCUUUAUUUCUUAUCUUAAAUAAGAUAAGAAUCAGGAUAGAUGAUUUAAUUAUCAUAAAUUAUAAACAAAUAAAUUAAAAACCAUUUUUGUUGCAGAUUCUGACAACUACGAACCCUCGGAGAAUCAAUGACUCCGUGUCGAUGCGGACCAACCAUAGCUGAAUGCAGGUAUCGCGGAGGAGACGUACACACGAGGACAGAGGAAACGAAGUUGGCCGGACGUUUUAUUUUUUCUAGUUCAAUUGUUCAAAAAAUAUUUUCACCGACAAAACAUAACACAACUUUUUAAACCCAACUUAAUCUGAGCCCACCUCUUUAGACC